rnacentral:ribozyme from 1 species
UUGAGGUAGCAAUACUGCACUGGUACGGAUCCGAAGCCUCUUGUAUGUUAACAAAGGCUCUCCACACUCUACUUUGACACAAUACGUGCCCGGUAUAUAGAACGGUAACAUGUCUCUCCAAAUAUCUGAGAUUGGGUAUGAGGGGAAACCCAACUCCUUGGGAGGAUGGAUGAUAUGGCUAAAUUGAGCGGA